CCUCUCCCAUCUCAUUAUUCAUUAAGAUUCAUUUUUACUUAUCUUUAUAUAUAGAAGACCAACUCUAUACUAAGUAAAGAUUUCAAUAGUUUGCACCCACACAGACAUACAAAGUAUAAAGUACUGUUUGAAGAUAAGUUUUACAGUUAGUUCUCAUAAUUCAUUAAAGACAGAAGUCCUACAUGGGAAGUGCACAGUGACUCCUGUUGUUGAUUUAACAAUUGACACUCUUAUUUAUGAUGUCAGUGAUUACCCGAAGUUCUUGUCAUGAGCUGCCAAGGCUAUGGAAGUCUUUUGAGUCUGCAAACUCCAUCACUAUUUAGACAGGGCCAUAAACAAUAUAGAAGUUCUCUCCACGUAUUAGAUUUUUUUAUUGUUUAAUAGUAUGGUAUAGUAUUGGCUAGAAAUAUUUAUUUUAAUCACUUCUAAAAGACUAAUUAUUACAUUUGAAUUAUGACCUUACUUGAACAUUAAAUUUUUAAAAAUAAAAAUCUGUGGCCUUUAAGGAAGCCAAUUCAGUAAGGCAGUGUAGAAUUCAAUCACUAAGUCAAUGGAGAAAGGAUUGAUUUAUAAUCCCUUGAAAACAUGGACAGUACUGGGAGAUCUAUUACCUUCUGCUUAGAUGCUGAAAUGAUAUAUGUGAAGUGGUGUUAUAUAUAUAUAAGUGAAGUGGUGUUAAGAAGGGAUCAUUGGGUCUGGGGUCUGGAGUCUGGAAUCCUACAAUUGGAUUUGGCCUUUGGCACUUAUUAUCUGUGUGACCCUGAGCAGGUCCCUGAAAAUUUCUGAGCCUUAGCCUUCUCACUUACAAGAUGGUGAGGAUUAUGCCUACCUUUCUUCUGGCAAUCAGAUGCGAGAAUGAGUGCGAACGAUGGUCCUUUAAGAAACUGAAGUGAGGUAAAUAUGAGAUAAUAUUGAAUCUUCUCAUUUACCUUCAACAUAGAUUGGAUUUUAAAAAUCAAUUAAAUGCUUGAAUUCCUUAGAGAUGACUUCUUGAAUUGUAACGUUUAUUACUUUUGAUAAUUAAAAUGAGAUUUUAAUGUCUGAGAAAAAGACAAAUGCAAAAGAAUAAGUUCUUUGUUUAGUAAAGUGGAAUAAUUAAUGAGAUUUGAUGAAAAGUGGAGGUUUGUUUUCAUUAGUGUUUCAAAAAUUUUUCUUCCCAAAAGGAAUUAAUUUGGAGAUAUUUUCAUCGAAACAUCUGGAUAGGGGGGUUAGCCAUGUUUAGAAUGUGCCUGGUCUGAGUGUAUUUACUUUACUUUGGCUGAGUGAGACUUUUCUCUGUAGCAGAAAUUUAGGAUUCGCCUUUCCUUGGUUGGUGCCUUACAACAACAAGCGUCACCUGGAGAGACUCAUUCUUUUCAUCAGAGUGCCUAAUUGAGCAGUCUGUGUGAGUCAGAAUUUGAUUUGAAGAUUCUGCCAGGCAGAGAAUUGUAAAAGAAAAAUUUUUGAAGUCAGGCCAUGAAAACUCAGGAUUCAUUUGUGUCUGGCUAAUUCGCCAGGGAAAAUAACCUUGGGGUAUAUUUAUUGUUGAAAAAAAUGAAGCAUUCUAAUGGAUCAGGGUUAAUCCUUUGGAAAAAGAGAAGAAUUCAUUAGCAAUAAUUCCUUCUCUUCUAUGCAACCUUCCUGUGACUUGAAGUUAUGGAAACAGAAUACUCCGAAGAACCAAAGCUGUUGAAAGUUUGUUUGUGGUGGUGGAAGAGGAAUGACAUUCCAAAAAAGUAGAACAGAACAAUAGAUGCUAAAUGGAAAUCCUGAGACUCCAUCCCAUUUUCCAGUGGCUAAAGCUUGUGAAAGAAAGCUAGCAGCCAUGACUCCAUUUUGUGACCCAGACGCCAUCUUGUGCUGUGGUGACCACUCCAUGAACUUGCUGACAUGCCAAAAUAAAGUUAUUUGCUGAGAAGAAAAACUACUUUGAGCUGUAGCUGUGCUGAUCAUCUCACCAUGGACCAGUGAUUCUCAACACUCAUAGAAAGACCCAUGGAGGUUUUCAAAUCCAGGCAUUCACAGCUCUCUCCUGGAGACUGUGAAGUGUGGUUGGCUAUGUCUGGGUUGUAAAUUCUUCAUAGUUUAUUCUCACAUGUGACUAAGAUCAAGAUCUACUGCUCAUUGCAUACUGUGCCAUUAUUUGACUUAUUUGAGAAUGUAUGAACUCAAGAUGGUAGAUGCUUCUUUAAGUGGAAGUGUUAACACACCAGAAUAGAUAUAUUCAUUCCAGUGGAUAGGCUAGUGGCCGUAGAGCUAGAAUUAAGGAAUUAUAAGCAUAGAAAUGAACAGUAAAGAUAUGAGACUGAUAAAUUGUCUAUAAGGUAAAUUAUGGGAAAGAGUAAGAGAAGAUCAAAUUAUAAGCUUUGGGAAUUACAAACUUAGAUUGUUGAAUAUAGAAGUAACAACACAUUGGGGCUGGUGCUGUGGUGCAGCGGGUUAAAGCCCUGCCCUGCAGCACCAGCAUCCCAUGUGGGUGCUGAUUUGAGUCCCGGUUGCUCCACUUCCAAUACAGCUCUCUGCAAUGGCCUAGGAAAGCAGUAGAAGAUGGCCCAAGUCCUUGGGCCCCUGUACCCACGUGGGAGACCCAGAAAAAGCUCCCGGCUCCUGGCUUCGGAUCAGCUCAGUUCUGGCCGUUGCAGUCAUUUGGGGGAGCGAACCAGCAAAUGGAAGACUCUCUCUGGCUCUACCUCUCUCUGUAACUCUGUCUUUCAAAUAACAAAAAAUAAGUUUUUUUUAAAGAUAUAACAACACCAGGAAGAGUCAUUUGUGUGGAAGAAGCAGUGAUUUCAGGGAAAUGAUUGUCCUUGCAAAACCAACUAUCUAGUUUUUGUCAAGAGUAACAUCAGAUUCUCAUUUGUCCAAGUUUAAUUUAGAAACAUGUUUGCUUUGUUUUUUUUUUUUUUUGACUCCUUAGCUUAAUACAGUUGCAAAGAUCUGAUACUUCCUUUUUGUACUGUUUUGCAUGUAUUGCUUUCUUCUUGUUAACUACUUGUUCAAGUCUUUAUGUCCACAAAGCUUACUUGUCAUAAAGGUCAGCUGACUACUCCUCUAGCCAUUUGGAUUCAUCCUGCUUAUUAUUAAUAGAUUCAUCUUUCUGAAAUGUCAUUGUGAUUUGAUAGUUUCAUGCAUGAAUGUUUCAUUGGUUUGUUGUUACCACUAAGAUACCCCAGCUCGUCUUUCCAAUCUCGUAUUUCCCCACUCCAGGCAGCUGUGACUCUUUUCACCUUUGUGCUUUUGCUCUUGCAUCUCCCACCAGUCUUCUCUACGCUUAGUGAAAUCUUAUCCUUCAAGUCUACUUCUUUUGGGCCUCCUGUGGGUUUAUAUCUUGAAGACAGAAUGUCUGGAUUCCAAUCUCAAAUUUACUAAUAGUUAUGUGACCCAAGACAUGUCACUUAGCUUGUCUGAACUUCUCUUCUGUAAGUGAGGAUAAUAUUGCCUGUCUCACAGGUUGUUGCAAAAAUUGAAUGCAUAAUACAUGUAAAAUACUUAAGCUAGAUCAUGGCACAUACAAGCAUUUUAAAUAUGUUAUGCCUAAUGUUGAUAAAACCGACCAUGAUGAUGUAGGUCUUCCAUAACUGUCUUAGGUCCUGUUUCAUAACUCAGCAUUUAUUGACUAAAUUACUCAUAUUAUAAUUUAUUCUUCCAGUAAGACAGAAUGAUAUCUUUUCUUUGUAUCUUUCAGUACCUUGUAUAUUUCAGUACCUUCUUUAGAUGGUAAACUUAUUCAUAGGAAUGAUGGAACCGAGCUUCUCAGCCUUUUGGCUAAGAUCAAGUGAAGAAUGAUGGAACCUGUCUGACCCUUCUCUGUAAAGAUUUAAGGAGCUUGAAAAUGCUUAACUGCCAUUUGCAGAUUGAAUUAAGAUUGAGACUGGUCACAAGUGAAAUAUCAAGAAAUCUGGUUAAAAAGUAGAACCAAGAAUCUUUGAGAUUUUCCUUAGAUGAAAUCAACCUGAGUCAAUGCAGUUGUGUAUGCUGAUGAAAAAAUAAGCAUAAGCCAGAAUCCCAUUCCCAAUGUGUGUGUGUGUGUGUGUGUGUGAUUUAGACUUUGGAAAAUGAAAGAAAGAACUGAAAUAUACUCUUUACAUAUAUACUGAAAUGUACACUCUACAAACAAUUCCAGUAGUAUUCCUUGAUGUGGCUAUUGAGCCUAGGAGUUAAGCUGUCAGUUAAGGUGCCUGCAUCCCGUAUCAGAGUGUCUGGGAGUCAUCCCUGGUUCUGGCUCAUGACUCCACCUUCCUGCUAAAGCAGACCCUGGGAGGCAGCAGUGAUGGUUUAAGAGACUGGAUUCCUUCCACGUGGGAGACUUGUUUUGAGUUUCCAGUUCCUGGCUCCAGCCAAACCCAGCCCUGGCUAUCAUAGAUAUUUGGGGAGUGAAACCAUGGUUAGGAGUGUGCCCUCUCUCUUCUCUCUGCCUUUUAAAAAAUUGAAUAGAAAGUAUGCUCUUUCCAACUUAUUCUGGAAGUUAAAAACAAUGGUAUACCUCAGUGGCUGGAAUAUUUAAUUUCCUUAAAAAAAAAAAAAAAAAACCUUUUGACCGGCGCCGCGGCUCAGUAGGCUAAUCCUCUGCCUUGUGGCACUGGCACACCGGGUUCUAGUCCCGGUUGGGGCGCCGGAUUCUGUCCCAGUUGCCCCUCUUCCAGGCCAGCUCUCUGCUGUGGCCCAAGAGUGCAGUGGAGGAUGGCCCAAGUGCUUGGGCCCUGCACCCCAUGGGAGACCAGGAUAAGUACCUGGCUCCUGCCUUCAGAUCAGCGUGGUGCACCAGCUGCAGCGUGCCGGCCGCGGCGGCCAUUGGAGGGUGAACCAACAGCAAAGGAAGACCUUUCUCUCUGUCUCUCUCUCUCUCACUGUCCACUCUGCCUGUCAAAAAAAUAAACAAACAAACAAAAACCACCUUUUUUCCACUGAGAAAAACUCUUUCUGUCUAGAAUUUAAAAAUAGGAAGCAGGCUAUACUCCAUUGAAAAGGAUCUCUGGGAUUACAGCUGUUUGGAUUUGGCUGGGAUGAGGAAAAAGGUAUCAAGAAGCCUUGGCUGCCAAGAAGCAAUGAAUGAUUCUGGCAUUAAUUGACAUGUCUGGGCUAAAUUGUCUUCAGAGACAGUGGUUAAAGGACAAAAGGUAAUAAUUAUUUACUACAAAAAGCUACAUGCCCAGUCAUGGCAGCCUUAUAAUGAAUAAAAUGUUCAAUAGAUUCUUUAUACUUAAACAGAGAGUGGAACGCUAUCCAUUGAAUUUAGAAUAACAUCUUCAGGCAAAUAGGACAAAUUAGGCAAAACAUUCGGGUACUAAAUUUUGGAAAUGUCAGUCUGCAAGGGCUACUGUUCAUCCCCCUUUUAUGGCCAUAAAUAAAUCACCCAACCUUGCCUGAAAUUAUUUUUUUUUCCAAAAUAACCAUGUCUUAGUCCAUUUUGUAUUGCUAUACCAAAAUAAUUGAGGUUGGGUAACUUUUAAAGUGAAGAAGUGUGUUGGGCUCAUAAUUCUUGAGGUUGGAGGGUCCCAACAUGAUGAACCAGCAUCCUGGGGAGGCCCCUUACCAACAUCACAGCAUAAAGCAGCAGCAGAAAGGGAACCGGCCCCCUGUAGAAGGGACCAAACGCAGUGGGUGGUUUCACUUCCCUAGAAUCCGCUCUUGAGAACUCACUCACUCCUGCAAGACCUAACCCACUCCUUGAGACCAGCAAUAAUCCAUUCACAUGGGGAAGCCCUCCAGUCACCUAAUUGCCUUCCACUAGGCCCACCUCUUAAAGGUCCUACCACCUCAGCCACACUGGGGACCAAGCUUCCAGGUCAUGAACUUUUGGGGGACAAACCAUAUCUAAACCAUAGCAAAUUAUAGACUUUUUCCAGAGAUGAGUUCUAUGGAAACUUGUAGUGUGACCUUGAACUUUUGGCCUCAACUGAACUACCUACAAAACUGGAACUGAAUUCAAUAAUUUUCUUUUCUUUUCUUUUUUUUUUUUUGGACAGGCAGAGUUAGAGAGAGGGACAGAGAGAAAGAGAGAAAGAUCUUCACCGUCAAAAUGGCCGCUACAGCCGGCACGCUGCGCCGAUCCGAAGCCAGGAGCCGGGUGCUUCCUCCUGGUCCCCCAUGCGGGUGCAGGGCCCAAGCACUUGGGCCAUCCUCCACUGCACUCCCUGGCCACAGCAGAGAGCUGGACUGGAAGAGGAGCAACUGGGACAGAAUCCUGGGGUGCCGGCGCUGCAGGCGGAGGAUUAGCCUAGUGAGCCGUGGCGCCGGUCUGAAUUCAAUAAUCUUAAAAGAGCAUUUCUACUUAAAGUCUUCCAAUGGUAUCUUUUUUAAAAAGAUUUUAACUUAUUUAUUUGAGAGGUAGAGUUACAGUGAGAGGGAAAGACAGAGAAAAAGGUCUUCUGUCUGCUGGUUCACUCCCCAAAUGGCCACAAUGGCCAGAGUUGCGCCGAUCCAAAGCCAGGAGCCAGGAGCUUCCUCUGGGUGUCCCAUGCAGGUUUAGGGGCCCAAGGACUUGGGCCAUCCUCUACUGCUUUCCCAGGCCAUAGCAGAGAGCUGGAUUGGAAGAGAAGCAGCCGGGACUAGAACCGGCCCCUUAUGGAAUGCCCUGCAGGCGGAGGAUUAACUUACUGUGCCACAGAGCCGGACCCCCAAUGGUAUUUAAUAGUAUGGGUUUUUUCCCCCUAUCUUAUCUGGCUGUUGAUAUUUAUUCACAGACUCCAUAAAUAGGAAUUUCCUCCUUUCAUUACUUGCCCCCUCCCUCCCUCCUUUCCUGCCUUCCUCUUUUCCUUGUCUCUUUCCCUCUCCCCUAACCUUAGUCUUCCACUGCUCUAUAAAUGCAUCAGUAACCUUUGUAGAAGUUGCUGUGUUAGAUAUUUUUUACACUGUUCCAUUUACCUUUUUUUUGAAUUCUGUUUUCAUUCCUGUUUUAUGAAUGGAGAAAUCGAGUCUUAAGAGUUUUGUAACUUGUGCUCUAGCACAGAUCUGGUAAGUGACAAAAAUGGAUUCACAUCCACCUCAAAUUCCAAAUCCAUGUCCUUUCUAUCCACGCUGCUGCUCUUCAUCUAGUCACUCGCUUGUCUUUCCCGAUUUCUGCACUGAGUCACUUAUAGGACCCUUUUCCUUUCCACUUUAUUUGGCUGUGGUAGCAAUAAUCACAAGGUCUGGACUGCUCAUGUGGGUGCAAUUACUCCGAACUCACAGCACUUAAAAUGUGAUGUAUCUAGGAUUAUGUACCUUUUCUUAAAUCCCAAGGAACACCAGGGGUCUCCAGAAUCUGGAGUCAUUGUAAGUUGUGAUUUCUGUUUGUUCUUCGUUCUGCUGUUAAAGCAGGAUUUUCAAUCAUUUCUUUUUAUAAUUCACCUUCUCCCUGAAAGAUCUGCCUGUGUCCCUUUCCUGUGUCUUCUAACCAUCUGUGGGCACCCGUUUGUUGAUCUCUGCAUUCUCUUGUUUUGACUCUCGGUAUAAACCUACAUCUUCCACUCGUUAAUCUUUUCUGUGGCCUUUCCCAGGUGCCAGUGUCACACAUUUGCAGAGACAUUUCUGUCUAUCAUUCAACGGAAGAACAAACCCAUUUACCUAACUCUGACAUUAAAAUGGAGACAAACACAACAUAUGCCAAAAGUUUUGGGGGUAUAAUAAAAUAUGCAACCUAUUUAAAAACCCCACUGACACUAUUAUUUUUUUGAAGUUCACUUGCUUGUAAACAUAGUGACAAUUCCUUAGACCCUUUAGUAGAUCUGAGGAUGAAAAUCAAUUCUGUUUAUGGCACUUAGCAUCCAGCUGUGCCUGGCAUCUAGUCUUGUUCAUAGUAGAAUGUUUGUUUAUGACUAACUGAGAAGAAGCAAGAUUUUACCACAUUGUCCAUGUUCUUAUAUAUUUUUCUACAAUGACACAAUUGUAACACCAACAGGAUAAUGCUAAUAUUUCAGAAAUAAGUGUUGAAAAAUAAAUUCAAGUUGAGAUGAAAUAUAGCAAUUUUUAAGAAAUAAGUAUUCAAGCAACUCUGUCCACAAGACCUCAACUGUUAUCAAUUAUUGUUUAAUCUGGUGAUGAGUGAUUUUGGGAAAAUUUAUUACCAGAAACAAAGGUUUUCUCCCUGGAAGCAUUUGUAUUCUUUUUUUUUUGGCAUUAUAUAACUCACUGUGUUUUCCUUUUGUUCUUAGCUGCCAAGAAGCUUGGGGCCAAGCGUAUAACUCAAUCACAGUAACUGUAUUAUCCUUUGUGGUUAUGAUGUUUGUUUCUUUCUUUUCUGGUUUUAAUUUCUAUUUCAACAGUAUUAUUUCAUACCUGACUUUAAAAAAAGCUAUAUCAAAUUUUCUUUAAAGGACAAAGAUGUUAUAAUAAUAAUAAAAUCGAUUUAAUUUUCCAGAUAGAAUAUAAUUCAUUUUUCAAAAGAUUUAUUUGUUUGAAAGACAGAGUUCAAGAGGGUCGGGAGAGAUGGAGAAAAACAGAGAGUGUUGGUUCACUCUCCAUAUGGCCACAAUAGCUGGGGCUGGGCCAGACCAAAACCGGGAGCCAGGAACUAUAUCCUAGUCUCCCAUGUGGGUGACAGGAGACCAAGUACUUGGACCAUCAUCUGCUGUUUUUACAGGCACAUUGGUAGGAAGCUGGAUCGGAAGUGGAACAGCCAGGACUUGAACAGGCACUCCACUAUGGAAUUCAGGUGUCACAAGCUGCAGCUUACCCAGCUGUGGCCACAAUGUCAGACCUCAAAUCUAAUUCAUUUUCAACUUAUUUUUUCAGAGUCAAAAUUUGUUUCUAGGUUUUAUUUGUCUGGCGGUAGUUUUGAGCUUGGCUGCACUUUGUGUUAAAACACACACCUGUACAUGCACAAUCUGGAUAUCAACCCUGUAACUAAGUCUUUAAAUUUUUCUCCUUUAUCAGAAAGGAGGUAGCAGUUUUUGUGUGGUUCUUUUCACUAGCCAUGACCUAUGACUUUCCAAAUUCUCUUCUUCAGAACUGAAGGGCUUGGUUUGGCUCUUUCUUACUUCCUAAUGGCUAACACCCAGGGGAUGGUAGCAGUGUGGUGGAUAGUGACAAGGUGUCACUUUUAAACGUUCCUUCCAUUGGUCUAUUUGGACUAGUCAGCAGAUAAUGUCAUAUCAUCUAGUCAUUUGGUCUUCCCCUAAGAUUGUCACUUUAGCUAAAUUAUCACGCUAUUUAUCCUACUGAACCCAAAAUUCACAACCUGCUUAAGAUCAUAGGAUCUUUGCUAGUGUUCUUAAAGAAAUGUGUGUAUAUAUAUAUAUAUAUAUAUAUAUAUAUUUGACAGGCAGAUUUAGACAGUGAGAGAGAGAGAGACAGAGAGAAAGGUCUUCCCUCCAUUGGUUCACCCCUCAAAUGGCUGCUAUGGCCGGCGUGCUGCACCAAUCCGAAGCCUGGAGCCAGUUGCUUCCUCCUGGUCUCCCAUGGGUGCUUGGGUGCAGGGUCCAAGAACUUGGGCCAUCCUCCACUGCCUUCCUGGGCCACAGCAGAGAGCUGGACUGGAAGAGGGGCAACCAGGACAGAAUCCAGUGCCCCAACUGGGACUAGAACCUGGAGUCCCGGCGCUGCAGGUGGAGGAUUAGCUAAGUGAGCCACAGUGCCAGCUUAAUAUAUUGUAUCCUUUAAUCUAUGUUAUAGUAUGUUACAUAUAACACAUAAAUAUAUAUUCUAAAUAAAAGCCAUUUGUGAAAAUUUCACAGCUAGCAUACUCCAUGGGAAGAUGUAGAGAUUUUCCUUUAAGAUCUGGUAUCCACUCUCACUCAUUCUAUUAUUUAAUUAAUUUCUUAAGAUGUAUUUUAUUUAUUUGACAGGUAAAGUUACAGAGAGAAAGAGAGGCAGAGACAGAGUGAGAGGUCUUUUAUCUGCGGGUUCAUUCCCUGAAUAACAGCAACUGCUGGGGCUGGGCCAGGAGCCAGGAGCUUCAUCUUGGUCUCCCACAUGGAUGUAGGAGCCCAAGCACUUGGGCUAUCCUCUGCCACUUUCUAGGAGCAUUAGCAGGGAGCUGGAUUGGAAAUGCAACAGCCAGGACCUAAAUUGGUGCCCAUAUGGGAUGCUGGCAUUGCAGUCAGCAGCUUAACCUGCUACACUAUAAUGUCAACCCCUUACUCAUUCUAUUAAAGAUGUCCACUCUCACUAUUCAAUGCAGUAGUGGCAUAACUAUCAAGAGCAAUCAGACCAGGAAGAUAAAAGACAUAUGAGUUGGAGAAGAAGUAAAAUGAUAUCUAUUCAAAGAUGACAAGAUCUGUCCUAUAUAUAUGUUGAAACCUCAAAAACUGGAUCAAAGAACGGUUAAAAUUAAUAAAUGAAUUUAGCAAAGUUGUAGGAUACAAAAUCAUCUUGGUAUAAUUAUAGGAUUUCUUUUAAAUUUUUAAGCAGUUAUUUUUAUUUAUUUGAAAGACAGAGUUACAGAGAGAGGAGGACAGACAGAGAGAGAGAGAGAGAGAGAGAUUUCCAUCUGCUGGCUUACUCUCCUAGAGGCUGUAAGGCUGGUGUUUGGCCAGGCUGAAGCCAGGAGCCAGGAGAUUCAUCCAGGUCUCCACAGUGGGUGCAGGGGCCCAAGUAGUUGGGCCAUCACCCGCUGCUUUCUCAGGCACAUAGGUAAGGAGCUGGAUUGGAAGUGGAGCCUAUGGGCUUGAAUUGGUGCCUUUAUGAAUGCUGGUAUUGCAGGUGGUAGCUUAACCCACUGUACCACAAUUCUGGCCCCAAUCCAUGGGAUUUCUAAUGAUCUCACUGAAAAAGAAAUCAAGAAAAAUAAUACUUACAGUGGCAUAAAAAAUAGGAAGAAAUUUAACCAAGGAAGUGAAAGACUUGUACAUUGAAAAUGGUAAAAUAUUGAUGAAAGAAAUGGAAGAUUCCACAAGUAAAUGGAGAGAUAUUCCAUGCUCAUAGAUUGGAAGAAUUAAUAUUGUUAAAAUGUUUAUAUGUCCCAAAGUAAUAUAUAGAUUCAAUGAAUUCCCCAUAAAAAUUCCAAUGGCAUUAUUCAGAGAAAUAGAAAAAAAAUCCAAAAUUCACACAGAAUUGCAAAAGACCCUGAAGAGCCAAAAUAAUUCUAGAAAAGAAAAUCAAAUUUGGAGGCAUCAUAUUUCCUGAUUUAAAAUUAUAUUACAAAGCUAUAGGAACCAAACAUUAUGGCCGUAGUAUAAAAACUGACACAUAAAUGAAGGGAACAGAAUAGAUAUCAUAAGUAAAUCAAAGAGUCAACCCAUUUUCAGAAAGGUCACCAAGAAGACUCAAUGAGGGAAAGGAUAGUUUUUUUUUUUUCUUUCAAUAUAUGGUAUUGGGGAAAGUAGACAUCCACAUGCAAGAGAAUGAUAAUGGACCCUUAUCUUAAAUCUGUAUAAAGACCUCUACCUUAUACCUUAUACAAAAAUCAACUCAAAAUGAGUCAAGGAUCUAAAUCUAUGACCUGAUACAAUCAAAUUACUAGAGGAAAACAUUGGGGAAACUCUGCAAGACACUGGUAUAGGCAAAGACUUUUUAGAAAAGACCCCAGAAGUACAGGCAAUAAAAGCAAAAAUAGACAAAUGGGAUUAUAUCAGGCUAAGAAACUGCUGCAUGGCAAAGGAAAUACUGAACAAAGUGAAAAGGCAAUUGAGGGGCCGGCACCAUGGCAUACUAGGUUAAUCCUCUGCCUGCAGAACCAGCAUCCCAUGUGGAUGGGAUAGUGUGCCAUGGUGCUGGCAUCCAAGACUGUGAUUAUGAAGUAAAUUGAAAUUAUGUUAUUGCAAAAAUUAAAGGAAAAAAGGAAGGAAGGAGGAAGGUUUGAGGGAAGCAGGGCGGUAGGGAAGAAUAGUUAUAUUCUUAGGAUUGUAUCUAUGAAAUAUAUAAUAUCUGUUCUUUUUAUAUUAACAAAAAUUAAAAAAUAAUAAAAGGCAUAGAUUUAAGUGGGAGAAGAUGCUAUAGAUCAAGCAUUGACACAUCUUGUAAAUCCUUGGUACUAUGUUGUCUCAGUAUUGGUUACUGAAAGCUCAGUAGAUAGCUGUUAUCAUUCACUUUUACACAAGCAUAGCCUAACAGUACAAGGAGUGAGCAUUAAAUUUACAAUUAAACAGAAGUGAACUUUUUUCCUUCAACAGUUGUUAUAUAAAACAAAUAUUUAUGAUAGUUUAAAAAGUUUUUUCAAGUGCAAAAAUGAAGAAAUUUCCAAGGUGAUGAAACAAUAGCUAAAUUAAGACAAUUGAAUAAUUAAAUGUAUACCUAGACAAGAUUGAAAAACAUAGACAAAUUGUUGAAAGCACAAUAAAAGGAUAAUUUUUUUUAACUUUUAUUUAAUGAAUAUAAAUUUCCAAAGUACGAUUUAUGGAUUACAAUGGCUUCCCCCACAUACCGUCCCUCCCACCCACUACCCUCCCCUUUCCCACUCCCUCUCCCCUUCCAUUCACAUCAAGAUUCAUUUUCGAUUAUCUUAAUAUACAGAAGAUCAGCUUAGUAUACAUUAAGUAAGGAUUUCAACAGUUUGCUCCCACACAGAAACAUAAAGUGAAAAAUAAUAGAUGAUUUUUUAAAUGAUGAUGAAAUCAGAUCAGACCUAUUGUCAUGUUUAAUCCCAGUGAGAGUCAAGUUGGGAAUUGAUAAUUUCUUUUUUUUUUUUUUUUUACAGAAGAUCAGUUUAGUAUACAUUAAGUAAAGAUUUCAACAGUUUGCACCCCCAUAGAAACACAAAGUGAAAUAUAUUGUUUGAGUACUCAUUAUAGCAUUAAGUCUCAGUGUACAGCACAUUAAGGACAGAGAUCCUACAUGAGGAGUAAGUGCACAGUGACUCCUGUUGUUGACUUUACCAAUUGACACUCCUGUCUAUGGCAUCAGUAGUCUCCCUAUGCUCCAGUCAUGAGUUUCCAAGGCUAUGGAAGCCUUUUGAGUUCACCGACUCUUAUCUUGUUUAGACAAGGUCAUAGUCAAAGUGGAGGUUCUCUCCUCCCUUCAGAGAAAGGUACCUCCUUCUUUGAAGACCUGUUCUUUCCACUGGGAUCUCACUCACAGAGAUCUUUUGCCAGAGUGUCUUGGCUUUCCAUGCCUGAAAUACUCUCAUGGGCUUUUCAGCCUGAUCCAAAUGCCUUUAGGGCUGAUUCUGAGGCCAGAGUGCUAUUUAGGACAUCUGCCAUUCUAUGAGUCUGCUGAGUAUCUCACUUCCCAUGUUGGAUCACUCUCCCCUUUAUUUAUUCCAUCGGUUAGUGUUAGCAGGUACUAGACUUGUUUAUGUGCUCCCUUUGACUCUUAGUCCUUUCAUUAUGAUCAAUUGUGAACUGAAAUUGAUCACUUGGAAUAGUGAGAUGGCAUUGGUACAUGCCACCUUGAUGGGAUUGAAUUGGAAUCCCCUGGUAUGUUUUAAAAGGAUAAUUUUAUUACCAAACAAUUGCAUCUGUUUCUUAGUUUUCUGUACAAAGUUAUCAUCUUUUAACUUUUUUAAAUUGAAAAAUAAGUGUUAUAUAUAUUUGUCAUGUACAAAAAAAUCAAUCCAAAAUGGAUAAAAGAUCUAAAUUUAAGACUUGAAACCAAGAAAACAUAGGAGAAAAUCCCCUUGACAUUGGCUUUGGCAAUGAUUUCUUGGCUCAGGAUACAAAAGCAAAAUAAAAAAUGGGGCUACAUCAAACUAAGAAGCUUCAGCACAGAAAAGGAAUGAUGAAAACAAUGGAAAAGCAAUCUAUGGAGUGGGAAAAUAUUUGCAAAGUAUAUAUCUGAUAAGAGAUUGAUAUAAAACAUUUAAAAAUAAAAUUAUUUUAAAGGCAAGGAGUCAGUGAGAGAGAGAGAGAGAUAGACACCUCCCAUCCAUUGGUUCACUCCCCAAAUGACCACAGUGGGUGCAACUGGGCUGAGCAAAAGCCAGGGGCUGAGAACUCACUCCAGAUCUCCCAGUGGGUGACAGGGACCAGUUACUUCAUCACUGCUGCCUUCCAGGCUCUGCAUUAGGAGGAAGCUGGCAUCGGGAGCUGGAGCUGGGAGUCAAAGCCAGGUACUAGGAUAUGGGAUCCAGGCAUCUUAACCACUAGUCCAAAUGUCCACCCCAAUACCCAAAACUUAUAAAGAACUCCCACAAUUCAACAGCAAGAAGAAUUAAAAUGCAAAUAAGAAAAUGGACAGAGGACCUGAAUAGACAUUUCUGCAAAGAUGAUAUACAAGUGGCCAAAACAUAUAUGAAAAGGUUCUCAGCAUCAUUAAUCAUUAGGGAAAUGCAAAUCAAAACCACUAUGAAAUACCAGCUUAUACCCAUUGUAUGGCUAUUAUCAAAGUCAGAACAAUGUUGGUGAGGGUCUGGAAAAAAAACACUCUUGGUCUAAGUGUAGAUUGGUACAGCCAAUAUGGAAAAUAUCGUGGUGGUUUCUAAGGAAAUUAAAAAUAGAAUUAUCAUAUGACUCAACAACCCCUCUUUUUUUUAUUUAAUAAAUAUAAAUUUCCAAAGUACAGUUUAUGGAUUACAAUGGCUUCCCCCCCUCAUAACUUACCUCCCACCCGCAACCCUCCUAUCUCCCGCUCCCUCUCCCGUUCCAUUUGCAUCGAUUCAUUUUCAAUUCUCUUUAUAUACAGUAGAUCAAUUUAGUAUAAAUUAAGUAAAGAUUUCAACAGUUUGCACCCACAACCAAAGCACAAAGUAUAAAAUACUGUUUGAGUACUAGUUAUAGCAUUAAUUCACAUUGUACAACACAUUAAGGACAGAGAUCCUACAUAGGGAAUAAGUGCACAGUGACUCCUGUUGUUGACUUAAUAAAUUGACACUCUUGUUUAUGGUGUCAGUAAUCACUCUAGACUCUUGUCAUGAGUUGCCAAGGCUAUGGAAGCCUUUUAAGUUUGCUGACUCUGAUCUUUUUCCGACAAGGUCAUAGUCAAAGUGGAAGUUCUCUCCUCCCUUCAGAGAAAGGUACCUCCUUCUUUGAUGGCCCGUUUUUUCCACUGGGAUCUCACUCACAGAGAUCUUUCAUUUAGAUUUUUUUUUGCCACAGUGUCCUGGCUUUCCAUGCCUGAAAUACUCUCAUGGGCUCUUCAGCCAGAUCCAAAUGCUUUAAGGGCUGAUGCCAGGCCAGAGUGCUGUUUAGGACAUCUGCCAUUCUAUGAGUCUGCUGUGUAUCCCGCUUCCCAUGUUAGAUCAUUCUCUCCUUCUUAAUUCUAUCAGAUAGUAUUAGCAGACACUAGUCUUGUUUGUAUAAUCCCUUUGACUCUUAGACCUAUCAGUAUGAUCAAUUGUGAACUGAAAUUGAUCACUUGGACUAGUGAGAUGACAUUAGUACAUGCCAUCUUGAUGGGAUUGAAUUGGAAUCCCCUGGCACAUUUCUAACUCUACCAGUUGGGGCAAGUCUGAUUAAGCAUGUCCCAAAUUGUACAUCUCCUCCCUCUCUUAUUCCCACUCUUAUGUUUAACAGGGAUCACUUUUCAGUUAAAUUUAAACACCUAAGAAUAAUUGUGUGUUAAUUACAGAGUUCAACCAAUAGUAUUAAGUCGGACAAAAAAUACUAAAAGGGAUAAAGUAUUAAGUUGUACAUCAACAGUCAGGACAAGGGCUGAUUAAGUCACUGUUUCUCACAGUGUUCAUUUCACUUCAACAGGUUUCCUUUUUGGUGCUUGGUUAGUUGUCACCGAUCAGGGAGAACAUAUGAUAUUUGUCCCUUUGGGACUUGCUUAAUUCACUCUGCAUGAUGUGUUCCAGAUUCCUCCAUUUUGUUGUAAGUGACUGGAUUUCAUUGGUUUUUACUGCUGUAUAGUAUUCUAUAGAGUACAUGUCCCAUAAUUUCUUUAUCCAGUCUACUGUUGCUUGGCAUUUAGGUUGAUUCCAUGUCUUAGCUUUAUUGUGAAUUGAGCUGCAAUAAACAUUAAGGUGCAGACCGCUUUUUUGGUUGCCAAUUUAAUUUCCAUUGGGUAAAUUCCAAGGAGUGGGAUGGCUGGGUUGAAUGGUAGGGUUAUCUUCAGGUUUCUGAGGAAUCUCCAGACUGACUUCCAUAGUGGCUUGACCAGUUUGCAUUCCCACCAACAGUGGGUUAGUGUCCCUUUUUCCCCACAUCCUCGCCAGCAUCUGUUGUUGGUAGAUUUCUGCAUGUGAGCCAUUCUAACCGGGGUGAGGUGAAACCUCAUUGUGGUUUUGAUUUGCAUUUCCCUGAUUGCUAGUGAUCUUGAACAUUUUUUCAUGUGUCUGUUGGCCAUUUGGAUUUCCUCUUUUGAAAAAUGUCUAUAGAGGUCCUUGGCCCAUCUCUUAAGUGGGUUGUUUGUUUUGUUGUUGUGGAGUUUCUUGAUCUCUUUGUAGAUUCUGGUUAUUAAACUUUUACCAGUUGCAUAGUUUGCAAAUAUUUUUUCCCAUUCUGUUGGUUGCCUAUUCACUUUCCUGACUGUUUGUUUUGCUGUACAGAAACUUCUCAAUUUGAUGCAAUCCCAAUAGUUAAUUUUGGCUUUGACUGCCUGUGCUUCCGGGGUCCAUUCCAAGAAGUCUUUGCCGGUGCCUGUAUCUUGCAGGGUUUCUCCAAUGUUCUCUAAUAAUUUGAUAGUGUCGGGUCAUAGAUUUAGAUCUUUAAUCCAUGUUGAGCGGAUUUGUGUGUAAUGUGUAAGGUAGGGGUCUUUCUUCAUGCUUCUGUAUGUGGAAAUCCAGUUUUCCCAGCACCAUUUAUUGAAUAGACUGUCCUUGCUCCAGGAAUUGGUUUUAGAUCCUUGAUCAAAUAUAAGUUGGCUGUAGAUGUUUGUAUUGAUUUCUGGUUUUUCUAUUCUGUUUCAUUGGUCUAUCUAUCUGUCAACAGCCCCUUUUCUGAGCAAAUACCUAAAGCAAAUAAAAUCACUACUAUGUAAAGAUAUGUGCACUCUCAUGCUCAUUUUGGUAUUAUUCAUCAUAGCCAACAUAUGGAGACAGCCUGAAUGUCUUUUGCCAGGAUGAAUGGAUCACAUAUAUUGCAUAUCAUUCAGGCUUAAAAAAGAAGGGAGUCUUGCCAUUUUCUAAUACAUGAAUGAAACUGUAGGACAUAUGUAAGCUGAAGUAAGCCAAACUCAGAAAGCAAAACAUUAUGAUCUCACUUUUAUGUUUGAAAUUGUCUGUCUAUCUAUCUAACUAUUUAUCUAUCUUAGCCAAUAUAGAUUCUAUCUUAGUCAAUAUAGAGUAAAUCGUAGUCAAGACCUGGGAAUCUUACUCCUACAAAAGUACAAGAGUGGUUGGCACCUCCAGUUCUGAUACAGCCUGUAGUUCCAGCUCCACUAUAAAUAUAAACUGAUAUGACUUUAGGAAAAUUAUCAAUCUCUGAGACUCGCUUUCUUCAUUUAUGAAAUAAAAAGGCAAAAUGAAACUUAUCUUAUGCACUGACUAGUGUAUCCAAGAAUGAAAUGUGGUAAUGCAUAUGGAAGAGCUUUAAACAUGAUGUAUAUUACUACUGUAUGUGGUGGUGGGUUGUCAUGCUUUACUGCUUCACAUUCAACUGGGCUGACUAUGGUGACAGAUUUGCUGGGUUUUCCUUGCAAGAAGAGAAUAUUUGAGGCAGUUCUAGGAGAGUGAGUGCAUUCAGGUUCUUGCUAGAAUGCUCCUUGAGUUGGCACCAAUCCUUUUUCUCCUUCUCCAUUUUGUUUCUCUACGGUUAUAUUCUUCCUUGUAUUGGGGGUCUUAUGAGCUUGAGUCAUUUUGCUAUCUUCCAAAGAGAAUCCUCGAGCUUUUAGAAAAGCUGUGCCACCUGCUUACCCUGUGCCUGAAAUUAAUUCUCAUUGGAGCUACUUCCAUUCCUUUCCAUCCUAACCCAAUUUGAAUAUUUAUUUGCACACAUGGUGUGUUUGGUACUGGAGAGAAAGAAAAGUGAGACAGAAUUUUUUGAGUCUGAGCUCAUGAAAAAUGAGAAAGAUGCACCAAUAACUGCACCCCAAAAUGUGGUAAAGGAUCUAAUUUUGGUAAAGUUAACGUUUCUGAAAGUAUGUGGGAGGAGAGAUUCAUUCUAAUGAUUCUAUCAAGAAGGGCUUUUAAAAGUUAGGGAUUUUUGAGUGAAAAGUACCCUAAUAGAGGGGACUUUCGAUAUAUUUGGAAACAGGAAUGAGUAGGAUUAAUUUAAGGGGAGGGAUGAAUUUAAGAAGGUGGGAUACAAGACUGGGUAGAUGAGAGUUGCAGAAGAUAAGUCUAUAAUGUAUAAAAAUGGAUAUGCACCAAAAUUAUACAAUUUAAUAUAUAUAUAUUAAAAUAGAAUUUUAAUUCUAUAUUAGUUUCAUUUCCUGACUUUAUAUUGACUAUUGGAAACUAAACCACUUUAAUUACUAUAAUUUUCAUGGUUCAUGUGACAUCUGAUUAUGCUGGAAUUUAGUCCAUGCAUCAAGAGUGAAAGUAAACCAAUACUUUUAUGGAUUUAAAUAACUGCUCUUUUGAUUAUCAUUUCUCGUCAAGAGCUAAGAGUCACUAAUGAUCAGAAUUUAAAAGUCUCUUGUAGAAUAAAUAGGUACAGAAUAUGUGGACCAAAAUAAAAUUUUUAUUUUAUUUUUUACAAAUAUUUAUUUAUUUGAGAGGUAGUAUUACAGAUAGAGAAAGGGAGAGACAGAGAGAAAUAUCUUCCAUCCACUGGUUCACUCCCCAUAUGGCCGUAAUGGCUAGAGCUGAGCUGCUCUGAAGCCAGGAUCCAAGACCUUCUUCCGGGUCUCCCACACAGAUGCAGGGGCCCAAGCACUUGGGCCAUCUUCCAUUGCUUUCCCAGGCCAUUAGCAGAGAGCUGGAUUGGAAAAGGAGCAGCCGGGACAUGAACUGGUGCCCAUAUGGGAUGCUGGAGCCACAGGCAGAGGCUUACUACUAUGCCACAGCACUGGCCCUCAAAAUAAACAUUUUAAAAGAUUUAUUAUUUGAAAAAAACAGAGAUAAAGAAAGAGAGAAAGAAAGAGAGAGAGAGAGAGAGAGAGAUCUUCCAUCUGCUGGGGUACUCCCCAGAUGCCUGCAACAUCCAGGGCUGGACCAGGCUUAGUCUCCCAUGAAAGUGGCAGGAACUCAAAUAUAGAGAGAAAGGUCUCCCAUUUGCUGAUUCACUCCACAAAUGGCUGCAAUGGCCAGAGCUGGGCAGAUCUGAAGCCAGGAACCAGGAGCUUCUAAGUCUCCCACACAGAUACAGAGGCCCAAGCACUUGGGCCAUCUUCUACUAUUUUCCCAGGCCAUGGCAGAGAGCUGAAUCAGAGGAGGAUCAGCCAAGUCAAACCAGUGCUCGUAUGGGAGUCCAGCACCAAGGUGGAAGUUUAGCCUAUUAUGCCACAGCGCCAGCCCUAAUUCUGUUUCUUAAGCUGUUUGAAGUACCCUCAUUUCUCUCUCUAUCCCCCUCUUUCUCCCUCUCUGUCUACACACACACACACACCAUGGUUGUGUUCCUCUGGAGAACUCUAACAAUCCUUUGUUUUGUUAGUUGUUGCUUGUAUAGUGUGAUCAGAGCUAAGUAUUUCAUGUAGGGCUGAACAUAAAGUGUGCCCAUCUUACCUAUACUUUUUUCUCCCUAGUAUUAAUUUCCCCACGAGGUGAGAAGAUGACUGAUAAGAGCACAGGGUAAUGAGCUGGCUUUGGCAUAAAGCAUGCAGUGCACCGUGCCUGCUCUGUUUAGCUUCCCUCUCCUCUGUCCUCAUCUUUCCCUCUUGGCCCAUUAAUGUCAUGUUCCAUCUGAGGUUGGGCUGUGCUGCCCUUUGCUGGGAAGAAGGAAUGUAAGCUUCCUUUAUUAGUGGGUAUCAUGUUGUCCUGACCUUUGUUUUGUUUUUCCUAAGAAAAGAUGGCUGGAAUCUUACAGAUGACACUUCAAGAUUGCACUUUCUGAUUUGUUUCAAAGUGGAAUAAACCUUAUAUUUUAAAAAAUAUUGUGUAAUAAACAAACCAGUACCAUUCAGUAACGUAAGAGAAUAAUGGCAACAUUCUUCCAUGUUGUCCAAUAUGGUAGCCACCUGCCAUAUGUGAUAGUUGAGCACUUAGAAUGUGCUGAGUAACUGAUAACCUGAAUUUUAAAUUUUAUUAAAUUUAAAAUCCUUGAAACUUAAAUAGACAUACAAGCUAAAAGUUAUCAUAUUACACACCAAAAGUCCAAUUGAGCCUCCAAACAUCAAUUUCCAGUUUAUUUAUUUAUUUAUUUUAAAGAUUUAUUUAUUUGAAUGGCAGAGAUACAGAGAGACAGAGGAAGAGAGAGAGAGAGAGAGAGAGGUCUUCCAUUCGCUGGUUCACUCGCAAUGGCCAGAGCUGUGCUCAUCUGAAGCCAGGAGCCAGGAGGUUCCUCUGGGUCUCCCGUGCAGGUUCAGGGGCCCAAGGACUUGGGCCAUCUUCUACUGCUUACCCAGGCCAUAGCAGAGAGCUGGAUCAGAAGCGGAGCAGCCAGGACUCGAACCGGCACCCACAUGGGAUGCCGGCACUGCAGGCAGCAGCCUUACCCACUACACCACAGCACGGGCCCCUCAGGUUUAUUUUUAACCCAAGUAAAAGCAAGUCUCUUUGUGCAUAUUAACUUUUUCUUUCCUUUUUUUUUUUUUUUUUUUGACAGGCAGAGUGGACAGUGAGAGAGAGAGAGACAGAGAGAAAGGUCUUCCUUUGCCAUUGGUUCACCCUCCAAUGGCCGCCGUGGCCGGUGUGCUGCGGCCUGCGCACUGCGCUGAUCCGAAGGCACGAGCCAGGUGCUUCUCCUGGUCUCCCAUGGGGUGCAGGGCCCAAGCACUUGGGCCAUCCUCCACUGCACUCCCAGGCCACAGCAGGGAGCUGGACAGGAAGAGGAGCGACCGGGACAGAAUUCGGCGCUCCGACCGGGACUAGAACCCGGUGUGCCGGCGCCGCAAGGCGGAGGAUUAGCCUGUUAAGCCACGGCGCCAGCCAACAUAUUAACUUAAUGAUAAAAGAAAAUCUCUCCUUUCUACUUGUGAGAUCUUCAGACCAUUAGCAUCUCCUGUGAGCUUCUUGUAUGUGUAGAAUCUCAUUGAUCCAGAAUCUGCUUUUAAAAAGAUCCUCAGUAUAUGUGCUCAUUAAAGUCUGAGAAUUACUGAUAUAAACCGUCUACAUGAACACUUCUUAAGUUAUAGAGGGAGGCAGGGAAAAGAAGUGUGGAUUGUUUUCUAAAUUACUUCUGUAAUUUCUCAGUGUACCCUCCUUCACAUUUGGGGCCUCCAAUUGUGGUACUGACAUUGCCCUACAUUAAGUAAAGCAUUCAAAAAAUAGUAAGAAAAAAAAAACUGUUCAUCAACAGUAGAGACAAGGACUUUGAACAAUCAUCAAAUCUCAAAAUGUCAAUUUCACUCCUAUACAUUAAUUUUUGGUACUGUAUUAGCUACCAUAGAUCAGGGAGAAUAUAUGGUAUUUGUCUUUUUGGGGACUGGCUUAUUUCACUAAGUUAUAAUGGUUUCCAGUUUAAUAUAAUUUGUUGUGAAAGACAGGAUUUCAUUCUUUCUUACAGCUGAGUAGUACUCUAUAGUGUAUAUAUAUAUAUAUAUCAUAAUUUCUUUAUCCAGUUAUCAAUUAAUGAGCAUCUGGGUUACUUCCAUGUCGUGGCUAUUGUGUAUUGAGCUGCAAUAAACGUGAAGGUACAGAUCACUUUUUAAUAUGUUGAUUUUAUUUCCUCUGGAUAAAUUUUCAGGAGUGGGAUUGCUGGGUCAUGUUGUCUAUUUUCAGCUUUCUGAGCAAGCAGUGUAUUUAGGGAGAUGGUAGGGGGUUCAAGAGGACUAUUAUGGUUUGGUGGAACUUCAUUCUACCUGAAAGCAUCUCAUAGAGACCAUGUUGGUACAGAAAUUGGGGCCACAGGGAAUCCUAGGGGUUUAUCAAAGUACAGUUUCUAGUAAGCUCUAGUGCCAGUGCAGUUUUGUUUAAUGUCUCAUGUUUAUUAGUCCUGGAAUAUGUAGAAUGUGACUUAACUUCAUAAAGCCUUGAUUCCUGCAUCAUUCAAGUGAUGGACCAUCGUUGUAUUUACUCAGGACGUGUGGAGAUAAUUAUAAGAGAUACCAUACCUUAGGUGCUUAAUACAAGGCCUGGAACAGAAUAAUAGCUUAAUAAAUGCUGGGGUUUCUUAUGAUCACAUGUAUUGUUUUAAAGUCAUACAGGUACUGUAUUAACUUUUUAAAAAAGGAUUUAUUUAUUUAUUUGAAAGGCAGAGUUAUACGGAGAGAAGGAGAAGCAGAGAGAGAGAGAGAGAGAGAGAGAGAGAGAGAGAGAGAGAGAGAGAGAAGUCUUCCAUCUGUUGGUUCACACCCCAGUUGACUGCAAUGGCUGGAGCUGCACUGGUCCAAAGCCAGGGGCCAGGAGGUUCCUCUGGGUCUCCCAUGUGGGUGCAGGGGCCCAAAGAUCUGGGCCAUCUUAUACUGUUUCCUAGGGCAUAACAGAGAGCUGGAUCAAAAGUGGAGCAGCCAGAACUCAAACCAGCACCCACAUAGGAUGACAGCACUGAAGGCGGUGGCUUUACCUGCGACGCCAGAGUGCCAGCCCCUUAGUCAGCUUUCUGUUGCUGCAAUGAAAUGCCUAAAGUGAACUGCUUAUCAAGGAAGAAGAUUUAUUUUGGAUAAUGGUUUUAGAGGUUCACAGUGCAAGAGUAGGCUGGUGUUAUUUGUUUGUCUCUCUGGUCAGGCCAGAGGUUGGCAAUGGUAGAGCGUAAGCAGAGGAAGAAUCACAUUGGGAGCCAGGAAGCAGAGAGAGAGAGCAGCUGAGCCCAAUGUAGGCACUAGUAACAUUCCUCUUCCAAGAAUUACUGUCUAACGCCAUGCCCACAAUGACCUAAGGACCUCCCACUAUGUCCUGCCUUUAAUGUCCUUAAUUGGAUUGCUUCUGCCCUCUCAGUGUUAUUAACUUAUGACUUUGGAGUUUAACAUCCGCAGGAAUUUGGGAGCCAAAUCUUGCUCAAGCUGUAGCAGUGGUACAGAGGAAAGUCAGAGCUUUGUAAGCACUUAGUGUAUUCUGCCAAUCAGCUGGCUAUCAGCAAGGGCUGAAUCAAGGAAUUUGUAGAGAAGAACAUAAAUUUCCCAAUAUUUCAGAAUAAUAUGCCCCAAUUCUUCAGGAAGGGAUAAGCAGCUUCCUGUCCUUUGUAUGACAUCCAUUGUGGUUUCUAGUAAUUACACAAAUUCAGGAUUUUAAACAGCCAAGAGCCUUCAAAGAAACUUGGUGGGGGCAUUAUAACCUGUAAUAACAGUAACCUAAAAUUACUAUGGUCACAUAAUGAUAAGUCAUUGGGACUCUAGGACUCAUGUUUUCCAAAAAGACAUUUGAAGACCCCUGUCCCUCAGACAGAGUUCAUGUCCAGAGAAAAAUUACCAGGUCACACAGAGACCCCUUUGCUAAGUUUCUAGAUAAAUACGGUUUCCCAAGUAGGCUUGGUGUUUGCCGAAUCCAGUCCCUCUGUGUGACUCUUUUGUGUAGACCAUUGUACGUUGAGUGGCACACAAGAGGUUGUGUUCAGUACUGAGGGUGAUUUGAGAAGUGUUCCAGGAGCCAGGAAUUUAAAGGCUCUGGGGAGAGUAGUCUUUCCUUGUAGAACUGUUAAAGAACUACUUCCCAUAAAUUGUUUUCGAGAAUGAUGGCUCCCCAUGGUCUGCAAGGAAUUUGCCUAUUUGUGUGUCAACCUCUCCCUCCAACCAUUAAUUCAGUGCUUACAUUCUCAAUACUGAGCCAUUUCUUUCUUCCAUUACUAUUUCCUCCUUUCCCCAUCUCUCUUUUUCAAAACUUUUCUGGAUUGAAUUUUGGCUCUGGAGAAGAGUUGCAACUAUGUUACAGAGAUUUCCCACAGCAUGUUCGUUCCGCUUUUCAUGAUGUUAACACUGAACAUAGCAAGAUACAAUUAGUAAAAUAAAAAAUUAACAUAGAUACAUUCUUAGCUACACUACAGACUUUGAAUUUCUUCAGUUUUCCACUAAUCGUUUGUUUUGUUUUAGGAUCCAGCCCAGGGUUGACCACUGCAUUGUGUUGUCCUCAUUGCUCGUUAGUGUUCCUCUGUAUCUUUCCUUUGGGUGACACCGCAGCUUUUCAGGGGUACUGAUAUUUUGUAGAAUGCUCUUCAGCUUGAAUCUGUCUGAUGUUUUCAGUUUCAGGUUAUCGGUAUUUCCUUUUCUUUUUAAAUGAUUUCUUUCCUUUCUUCUCCUUCAGAAAUACCGACUUUGCAUUUUAUAAAAUCAGUACAUCUUUAUAAUGAAUGACAUAUAAAUUGUGACUGUAUCCUCUUCAGGAGAACAGAUAGCGCUGAAAAGUUGCUUAAGCCUCCCCCACCCACAAAGGAUGAAAAUCUCUCUCUCUUUUUUUAUUAUUUAUUUACUUACUUACUUACUUAUUUAUUUCAAAGGCAGAGUUACAGAGAGAGAAGUCUUCCAUCCUCUGGUUUACUCCCCCAAUGGCGGCAAUGGCUGGAGCUGAGCUGAUCCGAAACCAGGAGUCAGGAGCUUCUUCUAGGUCUCCCACACAAUUGCAGGGGCCCAAGGACUUGGGCCAUCUUCUAUAGCUUUCGCAGGCCAUAGCAGAGAGCUGGAUUGGAAGUGUAGAAGCCAGGACUAGAACUGGCUCUCCUAUGGGAUGCCGGCACCGCAGGCAGAGGCCUAGCCCACUACACCACACUGCCAGGCCCCAAAAUCUUUUAAAAUGGAAUCAGUAAUUAGCUUUAGACCAAAACACAAUCUUGAAGAUGUUGUAUAUAGUCUGCUUCUGAAGAGUGUUUGGUUAUUGAAGGCUGGGUUGGUCUGUGAGAAAAAAGGAUUAAUGGUUAUUGCAAGCAGCUGUAGUCCAGGCAUUAAAAAAAAAAAAAGAUUGUGAACCUUGUGUAGAUCUUCCACAAAGAUGACAGGGAUGUUGAAGGCUUUUCAUAAAGCACAGCUCACUGCUGGGUGAAGAACAGGUGUCUAUGACACUUGCUCUUUCUGUUUGAGGCAAUCUUAAGUGCAUUCAACAAGCAUUCAUCACACUGUUUUUUUUUUUUUUUUUCAAUUCUAGGUGUUACAUAACAUCUACUAUGCAUGUGGAAAGCGUGGGUGGAGGCCAUUCACAUAGUGGAACCAUCUGUUUUUCUGAAACCGUGUACUUCAUGACAGAGGACUUUCAGAGUGAUUCAUGGAUUUCAGCCUCACCUUUGGGAGAGAGCCCUAAUAGGUAAGUGUGUUCUUUGAUGGAGCUGCUUCACCUCUCUGGGCUUUGGCUACUCGCUGUGUAGGAGAGAAAUUUGGAUUCAGUGAUUGCAAAGGUGAUUCCUGCUGCCUAGGAAGAUGCUGUGCAAACACUGCAUUUGCAUUAAUCAUAAUAUACACCGUAAGUAUUACUCUGCCAUUCAUUAUUUGAAUAUUCCACAGGAAAUACCAAUACCUGAUCAUCCUUAUACUUAAGUCCAUACUGGAAAACUUCAGACACUUUAUGGAAAAGUGGAAUUAGGAGUUUAUUCUGAUGCAAAAAGUUUGAAAAUCCCUGUUUAGUUGUUCCAUAAUACUCAUUUUCUAUGAACUUUUUUAUUUUAAAGAUUUUAUUUAUUUAUUUAUUUGAGAGGGAAAGACAGAGAGAAAGGUCUUCCUUCCGUUGGUUCACUCCCCAGUUGGCUGCAAUGGCCGGAGCUGUGCUGAUCCCAAACCAGGAGCCAGGUGCUUCUUUCUGGUCUCCCACGCGGUGCAGGGCCCAAGCACUUGGUCCAUCUUCUACUGCUUUCCCAGGACACAGCAGGGAGCUGGAUUGGAAGAGGGGCAGCCAGGACUAGAACCAGCACCCAUAUGGGAUGCCAGCACCACAGGCGGAGGAUUAACCUACUGCACCAUGGUGCUGGCCACUCAUUUUCCAUGAACUUUUAAAAUAGCCCUCAUGUGUAAUAUUGUAACAUGUUAAAAUAGGUUAAGUAUGACCUCUGAGAUGGAUUUGUUGGUAAAGGUGAUAUGGUUUUCUUAACUGUGCCUUGGGAUUCUUCUUGGGAUACUUCUACUUAACAUAUUGAUAGUCGUCCUCACAUUACUUUUGGUACUGUCCUGGCUAAAACAGAUUGGUUGGUAGAAAGUAGGAUCUAGGUGACUUAGCCAAGGUCUUGGUGGCUUCCACACUGAACUAUGAGUAGAUUAGGUUAAGUGAUGGGAGUGGGGAGUUUGUUACAUGAACUAAAAUGCAAAGGAUAUCAGAGUGGGUCGGGGGAGAAGGAGAUUUUUAAAACUAUGGCACUAAAAGAGAACAGAUAUAUUCUGUGCACUGGAGAGAAGAUUAUGUUGAAAUGAUAUAGGAAAUAGAAUGAAUAAUAGACUAUCAUUGGUAGUCAAUAUUUGGGGCUGCUGUCACCAAUGAGUUAAUGGCAAAUCUUCAAAUAGAAGAUAAUUAUUCCAAUAGCAUUUGUAGAUCUCUUUUAUUGUGUUAAUUAAAUUGGUGGAAGCAAAAUGGGGCCCAGUAGAUCUGUAACAAGGGUAGUUAUUCUAUGCUAAUGACAAUAGACAGAAAUCUGGUGUAGGCAGGGUGAAGGGUAGAUUAGUCACCUCUGCAGAUAGCUGAACUCCUUUAAGCCCCUAGGUGCCGUUCAGUGCAUACAAUUUUUGCACUAAUUAACACCCUUGGGUCUAAGUAUUAAUGCAGGCCAAAAGGGGAAUGGUUUGCUCCCCAGGCAUUAAGAUCAUAAACCCUAUUAUUAUUGUUUAUAGUAAAAUAUUGUUCUUACCCUACGCCUUUGAUCCAAGCUCAAAGGCUUUUAUUAUGACAUUUUCCCCUUUACAAACAGUCUCAUUAACCCUAGCAUCAUCGCUGGGGUUAAGUGGCUGAAAUACUGUAUCAUUAUCUCCAUUUUCCAAAGAAAGGACUGGAUCAGGGAGACAGCAAUUUGCCCACGCCACCUGAGUCAGAAGGGGGAGUUGAGACGCCUGGCUUUCCUUCUUGGGAUAAAACGAUCUUAGCUGAUGAAAAAAUGUCAGAAACUGACUCCAGACAUCAGCGAAGGACCUUUGAUUCCUGUUCAGCUCCUUCUAACCUGCAGGUUAAUUCGUUCAUGCAUUAGAAGAGUCAUGGCAAGGUUCAUCUUUUCCCAAAAUGAAAUUUCUCGGCCGGUGCCAUGGCUCAAUAGGCUAAUCCUCCGCCUUGCGGCGCCAGCACACUGGGUUCUAGUCCCGGUUGGGGUGCUGGAUUCUGUCCCG